AUAUUUCCAUUCCAAGUAGAAGCACUAGCCGUGAUGCCUAUGAAAUGGGUGGGAAGUGCGAGUGCUACUGUGCGAGCAGUUGUGGAUGGUAGACCGUGUGUGAACUGGUGCAAUUGUGCGAAGUCGGGGACAACCAAGGCUGAGCAAGCAGCAUGGGUGAGUUGAAUACUUGAAUUUUUUUGGUUGAAUGUUGAAUUCUUUUUGUUGCAAACCCUUUGUUGACUAUUGAAUUGUUGUCUGUUGAUUUGUUGAGUGGAGUGUAUUGAUUGUUGAGUGUUGAGUCUGUUGAUAAUUGAUUUGAGUAUUAUUUGUACUUUGAUGCAAAUAUGCAAUGAUGUAUUUUGUGUUAUUAGUUAUACUUAUUAUUUAUUAAUACUUAUUAUUUAUUAAUCAGUCAGUAUAUCAAUCUUCAAUUCAUAUAGAAAAGCAAAUUAGGAGUUAUUACUGAGAAUUGUCUUCACAGCUAUAAGCUCAUAGCUAAGCGAACCGAAUGAACGGAGUCGUGCCUAUGGGAUGAGACUUUAGGGAGAGACUCUCUUUCUUUCUCAAAUUGAAAUGCAAGAAUGACUGGAAAAGUGAAAACAAGACCAAAUAUAAUUUGAUCAUAUUUUUAAUCAAUUCUAAUUGAAAAUUAAAUUGGAGUAUGUUACAAAAGAUUGAACAAUUUUUAAUAGUAUUUAAUUAAAUUUUAAAAAAACGAUCGGGCUAUUACGAUAGUUGAUUGUCGAUGAUCAACGGUCAAAGUCAAUCUCCGUCAUAGCUGAAUAUUGAUGCUAGAUCUGCCCCUGCACACCACAAUUUUCUUAUUUACUUAAAUAUCCUUGACUAAAAUUACAUAAUUUGGUUCUGUCAACUCUCUCUCUUUAUUAAGCACACCACAAGUUUCUACUUCUCGGCAUCAAAAUCUUCAGCUCUCUCUCUCUCUCUCUCUCUCUCUCGCCCCCCGUGAUCAACUUGUUUUAUCUCUUCCACUAUACUUCAAACCUGAUUUUCAUCUAGAAGGGACUAUAAAUCUGAAAACAAAUUACAGAUAUUAAAAUAGGGAAUGAUGAAGUUACUGCCAACAUCAAUUAUGUUAAAUUCAGAAAAACAGCAGCAAACCCACCUUGAGCUCCCCAUUUGCAACAGCCACACAAAGUGCAAAAAGCAAAGCAAAAGCAGAAAGGGCUUGGGAAUUCAGACAUUGAUGUGAAGAAAUCAUGCACAUUGAGUAAAAGCAAAUGCCGAAUACGUCGCUGAAAACGGCCUUGUUAGAAAUCGAGGAUGUAUCAUACUACCAGCACGUUGGCCAAGCCGACGUCAAUGAAAGCGGUACGAGCGAGACCCAUUUCAAUGGCGAGUAUCGUUUCGAUCAAAUUUGAGACAUUUCAGUGCAUAAAAGCUUUCCAUGAAACAUUUUCACUGCCAAAAAUUUGGGUUUUCAUAGGCCUGCCAUUGUCUCAAUUGUUUCCCUCUCUCCAGUUCAGACGGUAACGAAUUGAAUUGUCCAGAGCUCAGCCCCUAGCCCAUUUCCUUGGCAUUAUUAAAAGCGUCUUACUUGUUCUUCAAGCUCCACCACGACGGAGGAGGCGGGUGGUGGGAAGAGGGAACAGCCGAACAGAGUAGGUAGAGAAGAUGAGUGUUGUGUCAUGUGUGGUGUAUUGUACUCUAUUUUACAGUUAACUGUAGGUUUAUUUGUAAAUUAGUAGUGGUGUAUUUAUAAAAAAGGUAUUUUAAAUGGGGUGUAUUUAUAAUGUGGUCUGAAAAAUAAAAGGUAAUAUAAUUCCCCAAUUCUUAUUUAUUAGUUGAGUAAUUCUAGGGAGACAAAUUUAGCUUUUCAUUCAUUUGACUAAUGACAACAUUGAUCCCCAAGUCCCU
rnacentral:lncRNA from 1 species